rnacentral:rRNA from 1 species
UACGAAGGAUGCAAGCGUUAUCCGGAUUUAUUGGGUUUAAAGGGAGCGUAGGCGGUCUUAUAAGUCAGUGGUGAAAUCUUAUCGCUUAACGAUAAACGUGCCAUUGAUACUGUAGGACUUGAGUACAGAUGCCGUUGGCGGAAUGUGUCAUGUAGCGGUGAAAUGCAUAGAUAUGACACAGAACACCGAUUGCGAAGGCAGCUGACGAAACUGUAACUGACGCUGAGGCUCGAAAGCGUGGGGAUCAAACAGG